ACCUGUUGCUGUAAAACAGAGAUGGUGAAUUGUUAGUAUUAGUCAGAUCAUCUUUAUGUAUUAGGUUUGCAUCUCCACAUGCCUUGCAUCAUUUCCUGUGAAACUUGUUCUAAAACAUUUAACAGUAUAGUAUAUGAAAUAGGUAUACACAUGUAAUCAGUUAACUUAAGUAACCAGUUACAUGGUUACAGUGAAUGCUUGGUGUUUGGAGUCUUAUAGGAUUGAUGUGAUGUUGGAUUUGAUUCAAUGGCAUCAUAUACAGCAGAUAUCAAGGGAAAACUCCCGUAACAAGAUGGAUCGCUACAGGCUUACAUUGUAGGAACCUAAUGAUUUAUUUUUGCCAAAAUGUCCAAUACUUUGUUAUUUAUAAUUUUUUUUUUGUUAUUCUGCAAUGAUUUGUACAGGCUUGAUACACUUUGUAUGUGUUUGUUUAUUUGAUAAAAAUAAAUUCAAAAUUUAUACGCA